rnacentral:rRNA from 1 species
UACGGAGGGUGCAAGCGUUAAUCGGAAUUACUGGGCGUAAAGCGCACGCAGGCGGUCUGUCAAGUCGGAUGUGAAAUCCCCGGGCUCAACCUGGGAACUGCAUCCGAAACUGGCAGGCUAGAGUCUUGUAGAGGGGGGUAGAAUUCCAGGUGUAGCGGUGAAAUGCGUAGAGAUCUGGAGGAAUACCGGUGGCGAAGGCGGCCCCCUGGACAAAGACUGACGCUCAGGUGCGAAAGCGUGGGGAGCAAACAGGAUUAGAUACCCUGGUAGUCCACGCCGUAAAAGAUGUCGGCUUGGAGGUUGUGGCCUUGAGGGGUGGGUUCCGGAGCUAACGCGUUAAGUCGACCGCCUGGGGAGUACGGCCGCAAGGUUAAA